UCUCCUCUUCCGUUACAACGCCCAUCAUCACCUCAGACAUGAAUUAGGGAUUUUUGCCCUUUUUCUCAUUGUUCUCCCGAUUGUUUGCCGGUUACAAGAACCAUUAACACCAACAUGAUUUGCGCCAUUAAAUCCCUUUGAUUCAUACCCGGCUAUUCAAUUAUGAUGCGUUACGAACAGCUACUCCUUACGUUCCCUUAAAUUUUCUCCUAUAUAAAUCUCAAGAAAGGUUAUCAUCUUCCAGCAUACUCUCUCACGUCUAUAGACUACCAGGUGUUGAUGUUUAAUAUGAAGAUGUUCACAGGGGUGGAGAAAAGCUUAAGCUAUCAAUUUGGGAUGUUGGGCAGGAUACGGUAAACAAGUGGUGGGAGAAGCUUAAGCUAUCGUUGAAACAUUUCUAUUGGUCACAAGAGUAUCAAUAAAGGUUUAUCAUUUCAAAUUAAUAUUCAAUAAAGGUUUGAUCUAUCUGCAAAUUGCCAGGGCAGAAUGCUAAAGAAUAUCAAUACGAUGCUUUUCAACAUAUAUAUAUAUAUAUAUGUAACAUAUGGAUAUACUAUCUUUGUUUCUGGAAAAGAGAUGGUGUCGAAUUACUGACUGCAAUCAAAAUCCCAACUCAACAAGGGAAAGCGCCUGAAGGCAUUUUGGAGUACGGACCAUUUAGUUAAAUCCGUUAUUUCAAUCCCUACUUAACAAUAGCAACAUCUGACACUGGAGAUCAGCUGUGUUUCAGAUUGUGUUUGGUCACUGUUGCAGCAUUGACCGUCUUUUAUAGUUAGUGUUUCUCUAAUCUUAAGUACAAUAGCUGCGCGACAGAUGCUUCUGCACUCCCAUUUUUUUUUAUAAAGUGGUUUCUCUGUCAUCAUCUGAAAAUCCGGGGAAAAAAGGUUACCAUCCCUGGGUUCUCCUCGAGAAAAUCGAAUCCUCUUGCUGUAUUCGCAUUCCAGCGUAGUUAUUUUCCAUGGAGAAUUGAAAACUGUUGUGAUGCAAGGAGCACGAGGCUAUGUCCCUUUCAAAUAAUCAUGCUAUAUGUCGUCCAACCCUAUGAAAAGGCGCUCUUUAUUUUGGCACAACGCUACUACUGUGAUGUGACGAUAUCAAUUCUAUCCAUAUCAAUUAACAGGUUGUGCUGCUUAAAAUACAGUACACCAAAACGGAUAACCUUGACCUUGAGGUAUCGAAGGCAAAGUUCAAGUUCGUGUUAUCAUUAAGUGUAUGGUGCGUCUCAUUGAUUAUCCGAUGGGUAGAAAGCUGGCGACCGGCGACCGACCUCCUCUGUAUAGUAAUAGACCGUCCUCCUCUGUAUAGUAAUAGGCUACCCAUGUAUAUCUCCGACCAGUGAAUGCCAUCAAGUGAAGGUUGUGUUUCUUCCAUUAUCUAUUUAUAAUAUUUGUGAGUACAUGUAUAGGCUAUUUCAUAUCAUGAUUAGAUGUUGGAUUCAGUUCAGAAGGCUAUAUUUCGGGCCGUUACGGCACAGGUCAUAUUCUAGUAUAAUGACAAAGAGGGAACUACCAAACCAUUUAAAUUGGCGAGGUAUGAUAUUUUUAAUGUUAAAAUGAUUAAGCUGAUACUUAAAGACCUCUAAUAGUUUAGGUGGUCUUCUUUUUUC